rnacentral:rRNA from 1 species
UACGUAGGGUGCAAGCGUUAAUCGGAAUUACUGGGCGUAAAGCGUGCGCAGGCGGUUUGUUAAGUCUGUUGUGAAAGCCCCGAGCUCAACUUGGGAAUUGCAAUGGAUACUGGCAGGCUGGAGUAUGGUAGAGGAAGGUGGAAUUCCCGGUGUAGCAGUGAAAUGCGUAGAGAUCGGGAGGAACACCAGUGGCGAAGGCGGCCAUCUGGGACAUCACUGACGCUGAAGCACGAAAGCGUGGGGAGCAAACAGG